UGUUAAAUGGCAACAGCAUCUGGGUAUAUAUGGAUGUGAAAUCAAUAUUGUGUGAUCCCCCUGUUCACACAGGGCAUCAGGAGGAUGUGGCUGACUUCUCAAGAUAAGCAUGAGGUUUCCGGGAUGGCAUGGUGGGAACAACAAUGAUGACUCUCUCUCUCUAAUUUUGUGUUAUGCCAUCCUCCGAUGGCAGCCAUUUUGUAUUCUGCCAUGCCUUCCAUGGCAGCCAUUUUGUGUUAUGCCACACCCCAUGGCAGUUAUUUUGUGAUUGACAUCCAUAGCACUUGCUCAAUAUUCAAAAUGUGCCACUGUACCAAAAAAGCUGGUGACCUCUCUCUUAGUACAACUACCGGUGACAAGGAUAAACACGUCUGCAAGUUCUUAGCCUGGGGUAGCCAAUGUGGUGCUCUUCAGGUGUUGUUUGACUACAAUUCCCAACAUCUCUGACCAUUGGCUAUUUGGAGGGCCCCACAUAGCUAGAGGGCAAGGACAUACUGAACAGGGGGCUGUGAACUAAAAAGACUCUUGUUCUGUAGUCAACCAGAGAAAGCAUUGAUAUCCCAGUAUCAUUUGUUUCUUGUUAGUUGCAUUGCAUAAUUAUAGCCACAGCCCUGUUUUGUCAGGAAAGGCAGACUUCUGCAGGGAAAUGUAUAACCGGACAAAUGUUAACUGUUUGGUGACAAUACACUUCAGCGAGGUCACAUUCAAAAUGUCCUGAUGUGCAUUAGACAUUUUUAGUGCAAACUGUGCAAGAGUGGUUCUGGUCUCAGGUGAUUGAAAGGAAGUUGGGUAAAAAGAAGCUUGAAGAAAAAAUAAAAUUAUAGAAAAGCCACUUAUUGGAAUUAUUUUUAUUACUAUCAUUUAUUAAAUUUAUAUACUGCCCUUCAUCAAGAGACCACAGGGCAGUUUACACACCCGUGUUCAGAGACAGUAUACCUCUGUCGCCAAACACAGAAACAUAAUAGGAUCUCUGCUGGAUCAGGCCAGUGGCCCAUCUAGCCCCGUAUCCUGUUAUCAGAGUGGUCAUCAGAUGCCCAUGAGACGUCUGCAAGCAGGGAGACCCAGCUGAAGAAGCAUCAAGGAAUGGCAGGAUGGAAAUUGAAUAAAUAAAGCUGUAUCUUACGUGGAAACAGUCAAACUAUACCUGAAUAAUCCCAUGAGGACCAGCAGGCUUUCCUCACCCCACCCGCUAGCUUUAUUUCAAGAAAUGAAUGAUAAAUGUCUCUGGAAUGGCAAUAUUAAAUAAAUUCUUAAAUUGGAGAAGAAAACUCGGUCUUACCGGAGCUGCGGUUGUGGCUACCUAUAUAAAGGAAAAGGGAAGAAAGAAGGGAAAAGGAUCAGCAUUAAUUACACAUAACU